rnacentral:rRNA from 1 species
CCUACCAAGGCGUCGACGGGUAGCCGGCCUGAGAGGGCGACCGGCCACACUGGGACUGAGACACGGCCCAGACUCCUACGGGAGGCAGCAGUGGGGAAUAUUGCACAAUGGGCGAAAGCCUGAUGCAGCGACGCCACGUGAGGGAUGACGGCCUUCGGGUUGUAAACCUCUUUCAGCAGGGAAGAAGCGAAAGUGACGGUACCUGCAGAGGAAGCGCCGGCUAACUACGUGCCAGCAGCCGCGGUAAUACGUAGGGCGCAAGCGUUGUCCGGAAUUAUUGGGCGUAAAGAGCUCGUAGGCGGUCUGUCGCGUCUGGUGUGAAAUCCCAUGGCUCAACUGUGGGCUUGCAUCGGGUACGGGCAGACUAGAGUACUGUAGGGGAGACUGGAAUUCCUGGUGUAGCGGUGGAAUGCGCAGAUAUCAGGAGGAACACCGAUGGCGAAGGCAGGUCUCUGGGCAGUUACUGACGCUAAGGAGCGAAAGCAUGGGGAGCGAACAGGAUUAGAUACCCUGGUAGUCCAUGCCGUAAACGUUGGGCACUAGGUGUGGGGCCAGUUCCACUGGUUCUGUGCCGCAGCUAACGCAUUAAGUGCCCCGCCUGGGGAGUACGGCCGCAAGGCUAAAACUCAAAGGAAUUGACGGGGGCCCGCACAAGCGGCGGAGCAUGCGGAUUAAUUCGAUGCAACGCGAAGAACCUUACCAAGGCUUGACAUGUACGAGAAAGCCCCAGAGAUGGGGUUCUCUUUGGACACUCGUACACAGGUGGUGCAUGGUUGUCGUCAGCUCGUGUCGUGAGAUGUUGGGUUAAGUCCCGCAACGAGCGCAACCCUCAUCCUAUGUUGCCAGCGGGUUAUGCCGGGGACUCAUGGGAGACUGCCGGGGUCAACUCGGAGGAAGGUGGGGAUGACGUCAAAUCAUCAUGCCCCUUAUGUCUUGGGCUUCACGCAUGCUACAAUGGCCGGUACAGAGGGCUGCGAUACCGUGAGGUGGAGCGAAUCCCAAAAAGCCGGUCUCAGUUCGGAUCGGGGUUUGCAACUCGACCCCGUGAAGUCGGAGUCGCUAGUAAUCGCAGAUCAGCAACGCUGCGGUGAAUACGUUCCCGGGCCUUGUACACACCGCCCGUCAAGUCACGAAAGUUGGUAACACCCGAAGCUCAC